CUAUGCAUGAGCUCGUCUACCAUUAUCCCCCUUCCAUCGCCCCUCACGAGCAACAUGUCAACAUAACCUGAUUGACGAACCCCGCCAAACGGUCCUAAAGUUCCUCUGAACUCCCGAAAAAUCGUUAAAAUGUUCUAUCACAUUUCUUUAGAACACGAGAUCCUUCUCCAUCCGAGGUACUUCGGGCCCCAGUUACUAGACACUGUCAAACAGAAAUUGUAUACAGAAGUCGAAGGCACAUGCACCGGAAAGUAUGGAUUCGUGGUAGCUGUGACGACGAUCGACAACAUUGGAGCUGGUAUCAUCCAGCCGGGUCAGGGCUUCGUCGUUUAUCCUGUAAAGUACAAGGCCAUCGUCUUCCGGCCAUUCAAGGGAGAAGUCCUUGACGCCAUCGUCACACAAGUUAACAAAGUUGGAAUGUUCGCCGAAAUUGGACCUCUCUCCUGUUUCAUAUCUCAUCAUUCAAUUCCAGCUGACAUGCAAUUUUGUCCAAACGUCAGUCCCCCAUGUUAUAAAUCCAAAGAAGAGGAUGUAGUGAUACAAGCAGACGAUGAAAUCAGGUUGAAAAUCGUGGGCACACGUGUCGAUGCCACUGGAAUCUUUGCCAUUGGAACACUGAUGGAUGACUACCUAGGACUGAACUGCGAAUAAUUUUCACGCCCAAACACAUGUUGGAAUUAUUCCAUUGAAUGCUGGUCAAUUCGAUGAGUCCACGAUUUGCUGUGGGUAAAGGCUUUGUGGAGUUUUUUUUCUAAUACGUGCAGUGGAAACCUGGCGAAAAGGGCUGAUCAUUGGAUCUACUCGAGAUCCUGGGAGCAAAACUCACGCAGCCAGUUUGGCUGCUAUGCUAGGCUUCUCUUUUGCUGGGAUCGUCUCGUCGUCGGGCAUCAUUUUGUCAGCAACGUGCCUUAUUACUCGACCAUCUGGGCCUAUGUAGUAUGUGGAGAAACCGUCGUACCAGCUCCCUUGCAUACUCUCAGACAGCUUGAGGAUCUUGAUUUUCCAAAACAUUGUGAAGGCCUUGAGGUUUGAUAAAGUUCUAAUUCGCCAUCGGACUUUAAUGGUAUUGUCCUCGGGGUGCAUCGUUAUUUUCAAUACUUCAAGUCGAACAUAGGCACACAUCACAUGGGCUGACGUCCUCAAGUAUAACAUUUGUUUUAUGUAACUAGUGAUUCCUCUGGAACCACCAGGAUAACAUUUUCAUUCAAAGUAAAUUAAUUGUCAAGAUAUUUUCUCAUUAAUUUGACAUUUUAUACGAACUUUGUAGUUAUUCCUUUGAAAUUAUUUACGAACUCUAUGUCCGGAUGAUAGAUGUGAUAAUCGAGAGGAGCUACAAAUAACUUGGGUAGCUGUAAGAAAAACAAUGCUGAAUUCUCUGAAUCAAUCAUUAUUUAGCUGAGAUUCGACUUCAGGAUUCUGCGAAUACCGCGGUAUCUACGAGAGAUACAGGCGUUGUCAUGGAGACUCUUUUAAUAGAGCGAAGAAAGGACUACAAAAGAGCUCCUCACUAUACCUCCAUCAUCUCUUAUUCUCGGUAAUAUUCACGAAAAACUGAAUCGUAAAGUUGAUCUAAAUUCACUCAUUAUGUUAUGAUUGAGAUAAAGGAACUCACAUUAUCCUCGAGAACCUUAUAGACAGCUUUAAUUUGCUCCGGAGUGGGUCUCCUCCUCUCCUCAUUUCCCUUCUCAUUAUCUGGAGAAUUAUCAUAAUUCUGCACAACCACAGAUUCUUUGGGACUACUAGACGCAGUUGAAUAAGGUCUCAAGGGAUUCCCAUGAAUGCCGACGACAAAUCGGUUUGUGAGAUACGGUGCUGUCAAUUCAUCGACUUUUGGUGGACUGAUUGAUAAUGUGUCGUACUAGAAAUUAUUAACAUACAAUAGUUAAUUCUUCUUUCUGUGGAAAAACUAAGUAAAGACAGUUAGCCACCAUAUUAUGUAAGUCGUCAUAAAAUGUGAGGUUAACGCGAGCGGCAUUACCAGAACGUUCAACGUCUGGCAAACAAUGAUGACAAUGUCCAAGCACCAGAGACAUGACGUUGUUAAUAAAAAAUUAAUUGGUGUGUUUGAUAAUUGAAGACUAGGGUUGAUGAGGGGAUAAUGUACCUUUUGAAGCAGUGCGCAUCUUUUCGUGUGUUUUGGCAGCCGGCGAUCAACUUCCAUCAGCCGUUUCCUCGAGUUAACGCAGGAUAUCAGUCUGCUGGACACUGAUCGCACGCACUGUGACAUUUUUAUUGAAUAAUUGGAGUUCAAAGUUUAUUCAAGUGUUAGGGGAUUUUUGGAAAUGAACUCCUCACGAAAUUUCGGGCAAUUGUACAGCGGACCUCGUGCCAGCCAUGUUCUCGGCAACUGCACGAUGGAUUUCCUUUCACACGCGCAGAGGGAGACGUAUAUGAUAGAUAUAUGUAUGUAUGGUAUAUAUGUAUGAUAUCUAUGGAUAUUCUAAAGUCAGUAUAAGUUUUAACAUCGGGUAUAACCCGAAGUCUCCCCUCCCUUCUCCCUUCAUGUGAGUAACGCGGUAAUAUCCUGAAAUUACGCAUGCGCGAAGAAGGGAGGGGGUAGACUUCGGGUUAUACCCGAUGUUAAAACUUAUGCUGACUUUAGUAUAGACUGGCUAUACAACGAAUCCGGUAACGUAAAGGAAUGCGUUACCGGACUUGGGUAAGUCAUUUCUUGAUUUCAAGUUCAUGAAAAAAUCUUGAUAAUGAAAUAAAAAAUGUUGAAGUUCACUCAGCCAAUUCCGCGAUAUUCACGAUUAAAGACUGCUCUGUUAAUCCGUUGGAAGUCGGAUUCAUUUGCAAUGAAAAGUCUCAGAUUGAAAGACAAAUAUUUAAAAAGCGAUCCUCACAGAAGAGACAGGGGCAUAUUAGAAGGAAAUUUGGUGAAAAAUACGGGAUUUUAGCGGAAAUUCAUAAACUCAAAGUUGUACCAUAAAAUAGGAAUGGAUAACAGAUUUUUUCUAUUAUAGAUAUCAUUAAAGAUAAAUAACAAUAAUAAAAUGAAAAUAAGGGUUUCAAUACUCAAAAAUAAUGGAAAAUAAUUGGAGAAAAACAUAAUGAGAAUUUAGGGCAGAGUUAGGACAGACUGAUAAAAAUAGUGGUUGGAGACAGCAGUUCUGGCAUUUGUCGUUCCCUCUUGAUAACUGUUUUCGUCACAAUUUAUAAUUUCGUAUAACAAUUCUGGAUACAUUGAUAAGCGAUUGAUGAAGUCUUUGAGAGGACAAGUUGGUUAAAGUGCCUCGUAAGCCAUGUCAACUGGUGUACGUGUCGUCGAUCCAUUCAGAAAUUCUUCGAGUUCGUCUCGACCUUUGUCCUCAUUUCUCGAACGAUGGUGUGAUUUCUUCUUUCUCCUCUCGCUUUUCUCGGAUUUGUCUUUGUCCUUAUCCUUAUUUUU